GAAUGUAGUUUAGUGGCAAAACGAAAGCUUCCCAAGCUUUAGUUGUGGGUUCGAUUCCCAUCAUUCG
rnacentral:tRNA from 2 species